ensembl:lncRNA
AUUACCAACCGGCCGACGGCCAUAAGAUUGACAUCACGUGUUGCUGGUUUCUUUGACGAUGACAUUUCAGGAGAGGGCCUUCUGCGUACCGUUAGUGAUGAGUCGUUGAGAUGUAGUUAGUUUGACUUAGGUUCAUGAUAGUCACUGUGUGUACCGGGGUAGUCACGAGGGAAGAGAGUGUACUUGACGAGGUGGUAACGAGGACAGAGUGUACUUAACGAGGUGGCAACGAGGACAGUGUACUUAACGAGGACAAAGUGUACUUAACAAGGUGGUAAUGAGGACAGAGUGUACUUAACAAGGACAGAUUGUACUUAAUGUGGACAGAGUGUACUUAACGAGGUUGUAACGAGGAUAGAGUGUACUUAAUGUGGACAGAGUGUACUUAACGAGGUCGUAACGAGGAUAGAGUGUACUUAACGAGGUGGUAACGAAGAUAGGGUGUACUUAACAAGGUGGUAACGAGGAUAGAGUGUACUUAACGAGGACAGAGUUUACUUAAACGAGGUGGUAACGAGGAAGAGUGUACUUAGCGAGGACAGAGUGUACUUAACGAGGACAGAGUGUACUUAACGCGGACAGAAUGUACUUAACGAGGUUGGUAACGAGGACAGAGUGUACUUUACAAGGUUGGUAUCGAGGACACAAGUACUUUUUAAAGUUGUUAACAAGGACAGUGUGUACUUACGAGGUUGUUAAUAAGGACAGAGUGUACUUAACGAGGUUGGUGAUAAGGACAGCGUGUACUUUAUAAGGUUGGUAACGAGGACAGCGUGGACUUAACGAUGUCGGUAACGAGGACAGGUUUGUAACUGGGACAGAGCGUACUGAAUAAAGUGCUUACAAGGUUUGCAGGUCUUAACGAGCCGGAGUCCUGUUACAUUUACAUUUACAUUUAGGGCAUUUAGCAGACGCUUUUAUCCAAAGCGACUUACAAUGAGUACAUUUGUCAUAAGAAGUGCAUCAAUAUAUCGCUGUCGGUACAGUAAGGAUGUUCAUAGAACCAAGUGCAAGUACCACAAUCGCUAGGCUAAUCAAUUCCCCGUGUUACCGCCAUGAUAGCAGCUACUGCAGUUGCUACACAAUUAGGGUUAGAGUUAGGGUUAGGGUUAGGGUUAGGGUUAGGGUUAGGGUUAGGUACCCUAAGUACCUGUUAGGGUUAGGGUUAGGUCGUAAUCACCUUGUCCUUUUCACUGGUUAAUAAGUUAAUCAUUUCAGUGUUACAAUGGACACAUUGUCCAUAUGAAUAUCAAAACUGCGUUAUAUUUUACCAACCUGGUGGGUUCAAGCCUUAAUGGAACAGGUCUUCCAUCAGUUGUCUCAAGAGAAGCCGAGGACCCCUUACCAACAGCUUACACCAAAGAGCUUUCCUACUCACACACACGACAUGGUGUCUGUAUGGGGGCCUGGCCACACAUUCAGAUCAUUACAGGCACUGAACAGGAACACACACUCACAAAGAAAACAUUCAGACAAUGUAGUAGAACAUACGCACACACGCACGCACAGGCACGUAUGCACACAUUCACGCAUACAUAAACCUUGCUUGACUGUAGAAAGUGGAUCAUGUGGUUUAAGGUGAAGCCAGCUUUUCCCCUUCUCCCCUCCUCAGUCAUAUGAUUCUCUCUUGUUCCCUCUCUCUCUCUCUCUC